rnacentral:rRNA from 1 species
GAUGAACGCUGGCGGCGUGCCUAAUACAUGCAAGUCGAGCGAACAGAUAAGGAGCUUGCUCCUUUGACGUUAGCGGCGGACGGGUGAGUAACACGUGGGUAACCUACCUAUAAGACUGGGAUAACUUCGGGAAACCGGAGCUAAUACCGGAUAAUAUUUCGAACCGCAUGGUUCGAUAGUGAAAGAUGGUUUUGCUAUCACUUAUAGAUGGACCCGCGCCGUAUUAGCUAGUUGGUAAGGUAACGGCUUACCAAGGCGACGAUACGUAGCCGACCUGAGAGGGUGAUCGGCCACACUGGAACUGAGACACGGUCCAGACUCCUACGGGAGGCAGCAGUAGGGAAUCUUCCGCAAUGGGCGAAAGCCUGACGGAGCAACGCCGCGUGAGUGAUGAAGGUCUUCGGAUCGUAAAACUCUGUUAUUAGGGAAGAACAUACGUGUAAGUAACUGUGCACGUCUUGACGGUACCUAAUCAGAAGGCCACGGUUAACUACGUG